rnacentral:rRNA from 1 species
GACAGAGGGUGCAAACGUUGCUCGGAAUUACUGGGCGUAAAGCGCGUGUAGGCGGGCCCACAAGUCGGACGUGAAAUCCCUGAGCUCAACUCAGGAACUGCAUCCGAAACUGUGGGCCUGGAGUGGUGGAGAGGGAAGCAGAAUUCCUGGUGUAGAGGUGAAAUUCGUAGAUAUCAGGAGGAACACCGGUGGCGAAGGCGGCUUCCUGGACACUUACUGACGCUGAGGUGCGAAAGCGUGGGGAGCAAACAGG